GCCGUAGGGGGCCAGCGUUGCUCGGAAUUACUGGGCGUAAAGGGUUCGUAGGCGGUGUGGCAAGUCGGGAGUGAAAUCUCUGGGCUUAACUCAGAGGCUGCUUCCGAAACUGCCGUGCUAGAGUGCGGGAGAGGCGAGUGGAAUUGCAGGUGUAGCGGUGAAAUGCGUAGAUAUCUGCAGGAACACCCGUGGCGAAGGCGGCUCGCUGGACCGCAACUGACGCUGAGGAACGAAAGCUAGGGGAGCAAACAGG
rnacentral:rRNA from 1 species